AAAUGAAAAACUCCUAUAUAAGGCAAAGCUGCCUCUGGCUGUAACCCUAAUAGCACAGGUAGCACCGUUUGGCUCUUCAAGACUUGCUUCUUUACCAUUUCAUUCCUAAAACCCUAUUCUUCUUCGCUCAUUCAUCAGCACUGCCAUCGGCCCCAACCUCCCCACAAGGUCACAGGGACUAAAGAGGUGUACCACCAUGUCGGACGAUGAAAGGGAGGAGAAGGAGUUGGAUCUCUCUUCUGCAGAAGUUGUAACCAAAUACAAAACCGCGGCUGAGAUCGUUAACAAGGCCUUGAAGCUAGUUAUUUCAGAAUGUAAACCAAAGCGAAGAUUGUGGAUAUUUGUGAGAAAGGGGAUUCAUACAUUCGAGAGCAAACUGGAAAUGUGUACAAGAAUGUGAAGAGGAAGAUUGAGAGAGGUGUUGCUUUCCCUACAUGUUUGUCUGUAAACAACGUUGUCUGCCAUUUCUCUCCACUAGCCAGUGACGAGGCAGUGUUGGAAGAAGGUGAUAUAUUGAAAAUUGAUAUGGCAUGUCAUAUAGAUGGAUUCAUUGCUGCCGUAGCUCACACCCAUGUUCUUCAGGAAGGUCCUGUUACAGGAAGGGCAGCUGAUGUCAUUGCUGCCGCAAAUACUGCUGCUGAGGUGGCCUUGAGGCUUGUCAGGCCAGGAAAGAA